UAAGCGGAGGAAAAGAAACUAACAAUGAUUCCCCUAGUAACUGCGAGUGAAGAGGGACAAGCUCAAAUUUUAAAUCCGUUGGGUUUACCUAACCGAGUUGUAAUUUGAAGAGGCGUUUUCUGCGUUUUUGAUCAGUCCAAGUCCUUUGGGAUAAGGCAUCAUGGAGGGUGAGAAUCCCGUCCGGUUGAUCGGAUUCGCUUUACGAUACGUCAUCUAAGAGUCAAGUUGUUUGGGAUUGCAGCUUAAAAUGGGAGGUAAAUUUCUCCUAAGGCUAAAUAUUGGCGAGAGACCGAUAGCGAACAAGUACCGUGAGGGAAAGAUGAAAAGCACUUUGGAAAGAGAGUUAAACAGUACGUGAAAUUGUUGAAAGGGAAACGAUUGAAGUCAGUCGUGUCUGUUGGUUUCAGCCUUUACCGGUGUAUUACCAGCAGACGGGUCAACAUCAGUUUUGGACGGUGGAAAAAUGACGGGAGAACGUGGCACCCUCGGGUGUGUUAUAGCUCUCUGUUGCAUACACUGUCUGAGACUGAGGAAUGCAGCUUGCUUUAUGGCCGGGGUUCGCCCACGUACAAGCUUAGGAUGUUGACAUAAUGGCUUUAAACGACCCGUCUUGAAACACGGACCAAGGAGUCUAACAUAUGUGCGAGUG
rnacentral:rRNA from 1 species